GGGCCCGCACAAGCGGUGGAGUAUGUGGUUUAAUUCGAUGCAACGCGAAGAACCUUACCAGGGUUUGACAUCCUGCGAAUCUCUUGGAAACAGGAGAGUGCCUUCGGGAGCGCAGUGACAGGUGGUGCAUGGCUGUCGUCAGCUCGUGUCGUGAGAUGUUGGGUUAAGUCCCGCAACGAGCGCAACCCACGUCUUUAGUUGCCAGCAUUUAGUUGGGCACUCUAGAGAGACCGCCGGUGAUAAACCGGAGGAAGGUGUGGAUGACGUCAAGUCAUCAUGCCCCUUACAUCCUGGGCUACACACGUACUACAAUGCUACGGACAAAGAGCAGCAAGUUCGCGAGGACAAGCAAAUCCCAUAAACCGUGGCUCAGUUCAGAUCGUAGGCUGCAACUCGCCUACGUGAAGGCGGAAUCGCUAGUAAUCGCAGGUC
rnacentral:rRNA from 1 species